GACGAACGCUGGCGGCGUGCUUAACACAUGCCAGUCGAACGGAAAGGCCCUGCUUUUGUGGGGUGCUCGAGUGGCGAACGGGUGAGUAACACGUGAGUAGCCUGCCCUUGACUUUGGGAUAACUUCAGGAAACUGGGGCUAAUACCGGAUAGGAGCUCCUGCUGCAUGGUGGGGGUUGGAAAGUUUCGGCGGUUGGGGAUGGACUCGCGGCUUAUCAGCUUGUUGGUGGGGCAGUGGCUUACCAAGGCUUUGACGGGUAGCCGGCCUGAGAGGGUGACCGGCCACAUUGGGACUGAGAUACGGCCCAGACUCCUACGGGAGGCAGCAGUGGGGAAUAUUGCACAAUGGGCGGAAGCCUGAUGCAGCAACGCCGCGUGCGGGAUGACGGCCUUCGGGUUGUAAACCGCUUUCGCCUGUGACGAAGCGUGAGUGACGGUAAUGGGUAAAGAAGCACCGGCUAACUACGUG
rnacentral:rRNA from 1 species